CGAAGGGCCUGUUUCCACACUGUAAGUAAUCUAAUCUAAUCUAAAGUAAAUGUAAAAUUAUGAAGACAUGAAAACUUGGCUAAGGUGAAUUGGGAACAAAGGCAUGACUGCACAUAGACAAUGGAUAGUUUUAAAAUAACUAUUACAUGAUUUACAGCAAGUAUACAAAGUCUGAGAAAAGAUUGAAAGAAAAUGUCUAAAACAAGAAAUAGCAGUAUUUCUGAAGAUGGAAAGAUUUGUUAGAGAAGCCCAGGAAACUGAUAAGGGGAGGGAGAAUGGAAUGCAAUCUAGUAGCAUAAAAUAUUAAAAAUGAAAUUUAAGAAAUACUGUGUGUGCCUAAAAAGGGAGCAUUCAGCUAAAAUAAUUGUAAGUCCAGUACAAGUAGAAUGAGGAGGAUUUACAUUGGGGCACAGAGAACUGUCAUAAAAGCUAAAUGAUUAGUUGGUAUCUGUUUUCACUGAUGAAGAUACAAAAAAAUCUCCCAGCAGUACAGAUCCAAGUGGAUAGGGAGAAUGAGGAGAUGAAGGAAAUCAGCAUUAAGUGGAUGACUGUGCUGGAGAAAUUAAUGGGUCUGAAAGUUGACAAAUCACGAGGCCAAGAUAAUCUACAUCAAAAAAUGGUAAAGGAGAUGGACUAUAGAGAUGGUAGAUGUAUUGAUGAUUAUGUUCCAAAUUUUUAUAGGUUUUGGAAUGAUCCUGCAGAGGCUCCAAAUGUCACUCCAAUAUUUAAGGAAGAGGUGAGGGAGAAAACAGGGAACUACAGAAUUGUUUGUCUUAUAGCAGUUGUAGAAUAAAUGCUACAAUCUAUUAUAAAUGAUGGAGUAAGUAGAUACUUGGAUCAUUGUGAUCUGGGCAUAGUCAGCCACGAUUGUGAAUGGGAAAUCAUGUUUGAUAAACGUGGCAUUUUUUUGAAGAUUUUACUAACAAAAUUGAUGAAGGAGAGCUGAUGGAUGAAGUAUAUUUGGAUUUUCAAAAGGAUUUUGAUCGAAUUUUGUGAUCUUUUGGAGAUCAAAUUUGCAUUUCCAGAAUGUGUUUAAUCAAAAAUUUGUUUUAUUAUUCAUUACAAUGAUCGACUCUGAAAAAUAAACUGUUUUAGCAUAAAGUAAAAUAUGGAACUUUUAUAGAACUACCAUCUUAUGUCUAUAAUGGAACCCUCACAUCAGGCUGAUAUUAAAAGAUAAAUAAACAAACCAAACAACCAGAUUCUGCAAAUCAAAACCAAAAAAAAUUUGCUGGAUAAACUCAGUAGGUCUGGCAGAGAAAGCAGUGGUAAGGUUUUCGGUUCAGUGACUUUCCUUCAGAUGCUGCCAGACCAGCUGCCUUUUCCGCAAUUUCUGUUUUUGUUUCUGAUGUCAAGAGAUAAUUGAACAUGUAAUCCAGGAGAUUGCCCACCUCUGUCUUUCCAAUCCCGUUUUGCCUCAGGUUUUGUUACACUUUAGCAGCAAGUCGAUGAAGGUAUCAACGGUGGAACGUUUGAAAGGAUCUGGGGGAACAUUAUGCAUUAGUUUCGAACUGAAAUAACUGUAAAAAGAAAACGGAGACAUCAGAGACAUUCUCUUGUCAACACGAAACAUUGUGUUUCUGAGGAAGGGUCACUGGAUCCGAAGCAUUCUCUCCACAGAUGCUGCCAGACCUGCUGAGCUUUUCCAGCAAUCGCUGACUUUGUAACACAUAACAUUGGUUUACUUGCGCAGGUCUGUCAGCAGAUGACGUGCAGAUAUAUGUAUAUAUAAUGCCUCAGUGCAAACAACAAUGAUCAUUCAGUUGGACAAGCAAGAAACCGGAGUCUAACUGGAAUAAUGUGUUGUUUCAUGGACCCGGCGAUGAUUUUGGACAGUCCAUUUGAAAGAAACUUUUCUCUGGAUGCCUGGAGUGUAAAUUCUACCGGAAACGUGAGCGACGUUUUCGAGCUCCCGUUGUACCACAGACAGAUGAGGAUAAUCUCCAUGACGGUCAUUUUCAGCCUGGCUUUGAUUGGGAAUCUGGCGGUGCUGCACAGGAACUGUUGCAGCCAAAGCAGAAGGCGGAAAAUUGACGCCCUGGUCAGUAACCUGGCUGCAGCAGACCUGUGUGUCUCUGUCCUGAUCCUGCUCUCUCAGAUCAUCCAGGAGGCGUUGGAGGAAGAAUGGCUGGCUGGAGAUGUCGCGUGCAAAAUGUUCAAAGUUUUCCAAGCUUUUGGAUUGAUUGCUUCUUCCGGCAUCAUUGUCAUUGUCGCGUUGGAACGGCACCAUGUAAUAGUCAAUCCGCUGGCAUCUCCUCUCCCUACCAGGAUCCUGACUGCAAUCAUUUGGAUCGGUGCUUUUGUGCUGUCAUUACCCCAAGCUUUUGUCUUCAAACUGACAGUCCAGGAAGGCAGGGAGAAAUGUCUGAGCGUGUUUGGGCACCUUCCCAAAUGGCACUUCCAGGUAUAUAUCAUGUUUGGAGCUGUUAUUGUCUUUUUGGCUCCCUUUUGCACGCUGUGUGUAGCGUACACGAGAAUCCUCUGGAUCAUUUGGAGGCAGAAGCAGCAUAUCAGAAAAGGCAAAGCAAGUGAAAAUGUUAACCAAAAGCAACAGAGAAAGGUCCAGAUUCACGGUACCGACUGCUCCAUUCCAAGAGCCAAAGUGAAGACUCUAAAGAUGACUUUGGUCAUGAUCAUAUUCUUUGUAGUCUGCCGAUUACUUUAUUUUAUAAUAGAGAUGAAAGUUGCCUUCGGGACCAUCACUGAGACAGACACCAAGGUGAUUACAGCGCUGGGAAUCUUUGUGGUUUCCAAUAGUGCUGGCAAUCCAUAUGUCUAUCUGUUCUUCAAAACCAACAAUGUCUACUUCAGACGACUGGAGAAGAGCGUGUGUUUCACCUGUCUGAAAGAUUACAGAGAGAAUACAUUUCACAGGGAACUGUGCGCAAUUGGCAAACGGGUAGAGCAAUCCCGCACCACAUUGAAGCGGCCAUCAUCCACUCAAUUCCCUUUGUCAGACUCCUGUUUCUCAACAGGGAAUUCGCAUCCGGAGGGAGUUCUGUCUGAAGAGCGCAUUCCCCAACCGGGAUCACUGUCCAUUGCUGGCAGUGACCAUUGCUAUUCAUUUUCUUAAAAUACAUCAAUUAUUUUUUACAGAACCCUUUACAUUUUCCAGACAAUAUGAAAAUGCUAUCUAGUAAAAGCCUCGAUUAUUAAAAACCUUGUAUUGUUACUUUAAUGAAUCGUUCAUCAUAUAUUGCUUUCUUCAGGACUUUGAGUAAAAUACCGACCGUUUUGUUUUUCCCUAAAAUCGGUAUGAUCAGUUCUUUGGUUGGAUUGAUAUUCGUUCAUCUUUCAAGGCUGGGAACCCUAUCAAAAGGAUCUGGUGUCGUUCAUUUUCCGCAAUAUUAAAGUCUGGGAAUCGCCGCCACAUUUUAAUACUUCUCUUCAUCGGCUCCAGAACUAAAGAGGCAGCUCUGGUUGCUGAGUAGAAUUUAAGACGACUAAGAAUUUUGUACUGCAACAAAAGACCAAGAUUUUGCAGUUUCUCCCAGCAGAGCAGCUUAUCACCAAAUAUCAACAGAAGAUUGGAUAGAGAUUUGCCUACAUUGAGAACAAAGCAAAAUCAAAACAGAAGUGUGUGCCAAUUUAUGGGUACAGAUCGAGUGCCCUCUCAGAUUGUUAAUGAUGGAGAAGAACGUGCGUAAAAGGUACAUAAACAGCUCGAAAUGUCCAAUAUGUUGUGAAACUUGAAAGGGUUCAGAAAAGAUCUACAAGGAUGUUGCCAGGGUUGGAGGAU